rnacentral:rRNA from 1 species
CCUACGGGAGGCAGCAGUAGGGGAUAUUGCACAAUGGGGGAAACCCUGAUGCAGCGACGCCGCGUGGGUGAUGCAGUAUUUCGGUAUGUAAAGCUCUAUCAGCAGAGAAGAAUAUGACAGUACCUAACCAAGAAGCCCCGGCUAACUACGUGCCAGCAGCCGCGGUAAUACGUAGGGUGCAAGCGUUACCCGGAUUUACUGGGUGUAAAGGGUGCGUAGGCGGGUAUGUAAGUCUGGUGUGAACGCCCGGGGCCUAACCACGGGACUGCUUUGGAAACUGUGUCACUGGAGUACAGGAGGGGCAGGCGGAAUGCCUGGUGUAGCGGUAAAAGCCGUAGAUAUCAGGAGGAAUAC